rnacentral:lncRNA from 1 species
GAAUUUUUUGGUAGUUUGGUUCAACCAAAGUUGCAUAAUGCAUACUUUGAAUCCUUAGUUAUUUACAGUAUUGUCACCAACCAUAUAUUUACAUUACAUGAAAUAAAUAACUACCUCAUAUGCAGAAUGAAGAUUGAUUUACAAUAGAUGCCUAAGUUUCAACCCUACACCGUUUGAGACCGUUAUCCUGACUUCUAGUUGUUCCAGUGUCAUGAAAUUCCUUUCUCUUCAUAGGUGAAGUAAAGCAUGGUAAUACUUCAUAAUUACAACCUAAACAAACCAAAUAUCCCAAAUUAAACCUAAAUAAUCAAAUUAAAACAAAUCAAGCUCAAUUGUAGAGAGCUUACACAAACACUGUCUGUGUCCCUGAAUACCUAUAAUCUCAAUUGUUACAAUAUUAUCCUGGUAACUUUCAAAUUGAAGCAAUCAACCCUUGGCAAUUUAACAUUAACAUAUAGCAAUAUCCAUUGGUAACACAGAAAUGCAGUCUGUACCCGUACCAGCGGAGCAAAAACAGAAUUUAUUCACUAAUCAGAUCCUAUAAUUUUGUGGAUCAUUUGAUUUCAGCAAACACAUCCAAAGAAUUUG